GAUGAACGCUGGCGGCGUGCUUAACACAUGCAAGUCGAACGGAAAGGCUCCUGCUUGCAGGGGUACUCGAGUGGCGAACGGGUGAGUAACACGUGGGUGAUCUGCCCUGCACUUCGGGAUAAGCCUGGGAAACUGGGUCUAAUACCGGAUAGGACGAUGGUUUGGAUGCCAUUGUGGAAAGUUUUUCGGUGUGGGAUGAGCUCGCGGCCUAUCAGCUUGUUGGUGGGGUAAUGGCCUACCAAGGCGUCGACGGGUAGCCGGCCUGGGAGGGUGUACGGCCACAUGGGGUCUGAGACAGCCCCCACCCCCCUCCGGGGGGCGCCGGGGGGGAAUUUUGCACAUGGGGCGCAGCCUGUAGCCACCCGCCCCGGGGGGGGAAGGCCGCCCUCCGUUUUUAAACCCCUUUCCGCUGGGGAGCAGGCGCAAGGCCCGUUCCCUGGAAAAAACGCCCCGCCCCCCUCCGUC
rnacentral:rRNA from 1 species